CCCGCGGCCUCUGCCAAACGCGGUCAGCCAGCAGCUGGGGCUGCCGCGACCUAGCGAGACUGCAGAGUGCGGGUCGGGGGCCUCCCUGGUGGUCUCGUGGUCUCUUCCCGCCGACGCAGAGGACGUGGGUUAAUAGAUCGCUGGUUCGGGGAAGACCGCCCCCCCCCCCCCCAUGCCUAGGGGCCACUAAGGCACAACUGCUGAGCCUUCGCUACGUUAGCCUCUGCGCCCGGCACCCGGUGCUCCACCGCAAGGGAAGCCACCGCGCGAGAAGGGCCCGCACGCAGGGAAGCGGAGCCCCCGCUCUCCCCAGCUAGAGAAGGGCUCCAGGAAACAACAGGGGCUCAGCACAGCCAAAAAACAAAUACCGUGAAAACAACUUACGUGUAUGUCACACACUUGGGAGACGGAGGAAAAGGAAAAGGGGUGUUGCACCAGAAAGAAGCUUGGACGAGACCCUGUAGUUACUACGUCCCUGGAAAACGCCGGCCUGAAGGUGGCGAGGGACAGGACAGGGAGGAGGGGCGGCCCCCCACACCCAGCCAGGCCCUAAAGGCCUUCCUCAUAUUGGAAAUGCUUUCUGCCUCCAUCAGAUCAGAACUCAAAGAAUAAGGAGCAGCGCUUUCAUCUGAACGUGCUGUGCCCGGCCCAGUAAAAGAUGGACUUGUUUGGGUAAACUCUUGAUGAUGAAGCCACACUCCUUCUUGGGAGGGACUCGAACCCACUGUCAUUUAAAUUGAAACCACACAAGAGGUGUCAGGAAUUACUGAAGCUCGCGUUCACAGAAAGAAGUCUGGUCACAGAAAGAAAUCAACGCGAGGCAGUGAUAGGCAAAGAGUGAGUCUGUUAGCAAAGGACACGUGUGAGAGAUACAAGCAGACUGGCAAGCGAUCACAGCCCCCAGAAACAGGAGGGCUACAUCUUUAUCAUCUAAGAAACAGUGGGGAGGGAAGACAACCUUCCUCCUCAUUCUUGGGCAGCCACCAAGGCUUUUAGCAUCGUUACUUCCUCCUUAGAGGCUGCGUGGUCUAGCUGGGACUGUCCUGGCACUAUUUCUAUCAUGUCUAUAUUAGCAAAAGUGUGGCAACAUAGUCUAAACUGUGGCAAUUCAUCUCAGGUCUCAGCGGAAUGUCCCCUUUCUUCUAGUUUCUUUCCCCUUUCACCUGUAUUUCUGUCUCAGCUGGAAGCAAAAAUGCUACUCUUAAAGGAACAUUAACUCUUCAUGGAACAAGAUUCAGAUCCCGUAUCUUCGUGUUUUAACUCUCAGGGUGUGUGGCGCUUGGAUGCACCGGGUCUUCCUCCAAAGUAGUGUAGAUUUUUGUUAGGUUACUGGAUUCUUUUCUUGAGUGGUUAUUAGCUUGUAACAGUCUCCCGAACUCCCUUAAAAUUCUCUGUCUUAAUCCUCCAGUGAGAUUUCUAAACUGACUAUCCUACUCUAUCC
ensembl:lncRNA